CCUCAACUUUGCGGCUGGAUUUUCAGUCUGGCGUCCCGGGAGCAGGCGUCUUUUGCACACUUUAAUUCAUUUAAAAGAUUUUUUGUUGGAAUCACAACACUCACUGGAUACAAGACGGAUACAUAGAGGCAAAACAAGUGGAAAGGUCUCAGAGAAGAGGACAACCCUCAUGUGCAAAGAAUAGCAGCUG